AGCAGCCGCGGUAAUUCCAGCUCCAAUAGCGUAUAUUAAAGUUGUUGCAGUUAAAAAGCUCGUAGUUGAAUUUCGGGAUCAGUACGCUGGUCAUGCCUUUGGUAUGUACUGGUGUUACUGGUUCCUACCUUCUGACGAACCGUCAUGUCAUUCAUUUGGUGUGGCGGGGAAUCAGGACUGUUACUUUGAAAAAUUAGAGUGUUUAAAGCAGGCUCGCGCUUGAAUACAUUAGCAUGGAAUAAUGAAAUAGGACGUUUGAUCCUAUUUUGUUGGUUUCUAGGAUUGACGUAAUGAUUAAUAGGGAUAGUUGGGGGCAUUAGUAUUCAAUUGUCAGAGGUGAAAUUCUUGGAUUUAUUGAAGACUAACUACUGCGAAAGCAUUUGCCAAGGAUGUUUUCAUUAAUCAAGAACGAAAGUUAGGGGAUCGAAGACGAUCAGAUACCGUCGUAG
rnacentral:rRNA from 1 species